rnacentral:rRNA from 1 species
GACGAACCGUGCGAACGUUGUUCGGAAUCACUGGGCUUAAAGGGCGCGUAGGCGGGCGGCCAAGUCCGGGGUGAAAGCCCCCAGCUCAACUGGGGAAGUGCCUCGGAUACUGGUCGCCUCGAGGGAGGUAGGGGCGUGCGGAACUUCCGGUGGAGCGGUGAAAUGCGUAGAUAUCGGAAGGAACACCGGUGGCGAAAGCGGCGCGCUGGACCUCUGCUGACGCUGAGGCGCGAAAGCCAGGGGAGCAAACGGG